rnacentral:misc_RNA from 1 species
UUUUCUUGUCUAUAAUCAUCCAUCAUGCAUAUGAACAUUUAAUAAUUAAAUAUAAAUAUACAUGUUAAAUUAAUCUUAAAUUUAGGAACCCUUCCUAAAUUUAAUUUUUAUGAAAACAAUUUUCAAAAUGUAUUUGUAUGAAUAGAAAUCCUAAUUAAACCAUUCAAUUAGGUCUAGGCAUGAUUUUGGGUCACCAAUUAUACAACAAUUGCAUAAAAACCUUUUAAAUCAGCCAUAACACGCCCCUGUGUGAGGAUAACAUGCCCCACAUGUAAAACACGGGCUCAAACCCAGUAACACGGCCUGAGGAGCAGGAUUACACGGGCCGUCUCACGAGACAUGCCCCUGGGUAAGCCAAAGCACGGGCCGUGUUGCACGACACGCCUGGGCCAUGCCCAGUAAACCCAGAACAUAGCCCAUGGCUUGGGACACGCCCAGGCCUUGUUCUUUGCAGUGGUAAGGUUUUUCUUAGGGUUUUUCACACCGAUUCUCAUUCAAAUCAACCCAAACCUCAUCCAAUCACAUAAUUAAGUCCCAAAAUCAAUCCUAAUGGCAAAUAUAGUGGCUCUGA